rnacentral:rRNA from 1 species
AUUGAACGCUGGCGGCAGGCCUAACACAUGCAAGUCGAGCGAGCGGCGGACGGGUGAGUAAUGUCUGGGAAACUGCCCGAUGGAGGGGGAUAACUACUGGAAACUGUAGCUAAUACCGCAUACCCUCAGAUGUACCCAGAUGGGAUUAGCUAGUAGGUGGGGUAAAGGCUCACCUAGGCGACGAUCCCUAGCUGGUCUGAGAGGAUGACCAGCCACACUGGAACUGAGACACGGUCCAGACUCCUACGGGAGGCAGCAGUGGGGAAUAUUGAACAAUGGGCGCAAGCCUGAUGCAGCCAUGCAGAGUGUAUGAAGAAGGCCUUAGGGUUGUAAAGUACUUUCAGCGGGGAGGCGUUACCCGCAGAAGAAGCACCGGCUAACUCCGUGCCAGCAGCCGCGGUAAUUC